UAAUACGAAGGGGGCAAGCGUUGUUCGGAAUGACUGGGCGUAAAGGGCGCGUAGGCGGUGCGUUGCGUCAGAUGUGAAAUCCCCGGGCUCAACCUGGGAAUGGCAUUUGAUACGGGCGUACUGGAAUCCGUGAGAGGUUGGUGGAAUUCCCAGUGUAGAGGUGAAAUUCGUAGAUAUUGGGAAGAACACCAGUGGCGAAGGCGGCCAACUGGCACGGUAUUGACGCUGAGGCGCGAAAGCGUGGGGAGCAAACAGGAUUAGAUACCCUGGUAGUCCACGCCGUAAACGAUGUGUGCUAGCCGUCGGGCAGCUUGCUGUUCGGUGGCGCAGCUAACGCGAUAAGCACACCGCCUGGGGAGUACGGUCGCAAGAUUA
rnacentral:rRNA from 1 species